CCUGUGUUUGCGUAUAGUUUGGACGACUGGGACGGGUUUUGGUCUCUCUUUUUUGACUAUUUUCCUAAGUUUUCUCAAGUUAGGCGGACGGGACUCGAACUCGGGCUCCGUAUAUCGGAAUCGAGUCUCGUUAGUUGUAACGUGUGUCUAGUGACUAUGCGGUGGUAUUUCCUGUGUUUGCGUGUCGUUUGGACGACCGGGAUGGGUUUUGGUCUCUUUUUUGGCUAUUUUCCUAAGUUUUCUCAAGUUAGGCGGACGGGACUCAAACUCGAGCUCCGUAUAUCGGAAUCGAGUCCCGUCAGUUGUAACGCGUGUCUAUUGCCUAUGCAGUGGUAUUGCCUAUGUUUGUGUGUCGUUUGGACGACCGGGACGGGUUUUGGUCUCUUUUUCGACUAUUUUUCUAAGUAUUCUCAAAUUAGGCAGACGGGACUCGAACUCGGGCUCCGU
rnacentral:lncRNA from 1 species